GAUGAACGCUGGCGGCGUGCCUAACACAUGCAAGUCGAGCGAUUUACUUCGGUAAAGAGCGGCGGACGGGUGAGUAACGCGUGGGUAACCUGCCCUGUACACACGGAUAACAUACCGAAAGGUAUGCUAAUACGAGAUAAUAUGCUUUUAUCGCAUGGUAGAAGUAUCAAAGCUUUUGCGGUACAGGAUGGACCCGCGUCUGAUUAGCUAGUUGGUAAGGUAACGGCUUACCAAGGCGAGGAUGCGUAGCCGAACUGAGAGGUUGAUCGGCCACAUUGGAACUGAGACACGGUCCAAACUCCUACGGGAGGCAGCAGUAAGGAGUUUUCGGCAAUGGGGGAAACCCUGACCGAGCAACGCCGCGUGAGUGAUGACGGCCCUAUGGGUUGUAAAGCUCUGUUAUAAGGGACGAACAGCUUUGCGAGGAAAUGCGCAGAGUCUGACGGUACUUUAUCAGAAAGCCACGGCUAACUACGUG
rnacentral:rRNA from 1 species